UACAGAGGUCUCGAGCGUUGUUCGGAUUCAUUGGGCGUAAAGGGCGCGUAGGCGGCGGGGUGAGUCUGGUGUGAAAUCUCGGAGCUCAACUCCGAAAUUGCACUGGAUACUGCUCUGCUAGAGGGCUGGAGAGGAGAUCGGAAUUCACGGUGUAGCAGUGAAAUGCGUAGAUAUCGUGAGGAAGACCAGUGGCGAAGGCGGAUCUCUGGACAGCUCCUGACGCUGAGGCGCGAAGGCUAGGGGAGCAAACGGG
rnacentral:rRNA from 1 species